UCGCAAUCUGUAAGUCUUCAAAUCUCCCUCGCAUUUGUCCCGGCUACGGACGGCACCGUUUUGUUCAAACCCUAAAUCUUAUCCGUUUCUUGAGUUUGGUCGUUUCUGAUUAAUCUCUAUCAAUUAUUGAAGCGAUAAUGUUGGUUUAGUUAUUUGUCUCUUUCUAAUUUUCUUGACGGAUUCAAUGUAUUUAUUUUUUACCCUUUUUCAAAUGCUGUUAGGGUUCAUGAAGCUUUGUGGAAUAG
rnacentral:misc_RNA from 1 species